rnacentral:rRNA from 1 species
GCUUAUGGCCAUACAACCCUGAAUGCGCCUGAUCUCCUCUGAUCUCUGAAACUAAACAGUGUAGGGCCUGGUUAGUACUUGGAUGAGAGAAAGGUAUGGUUCUCAAUAUAGGUC